rnacentral:tRNA from 1 species
GCGGGCGUGGCGGAGCCGGCAGACGCGCGGGACUUAGGAUCCCGUGGGCAAAGGCCCGUGUGGGUUCAAAUCCCACCGCCCGCACCA